rnacentral:tRNA from 1 species
UGAUAUUGCUCCGGGUGAAGCAAUUUUCAUUAAUGCUGACGGUGAGUUAUUUACAAAGCAAUGUGCGGCAG